rnacentral:rRNA from 1 species
CAGGCCUAACACAUGCAAGUCGAGCGGACCACUCCUUCGGGGAUGGUUAGCGGCGGACGGGUGAGUAACACGUAGGCAACCUGCCUGUAAGAUCGGGAUAACUACCGGAAACGGUAGCUAAGACCGGAUAGCUGGUUUCUCCGCAUGGGGGAAUCAUGAAACACGGGGCAACCUGUGGCUUACGGAUGGGCCUGCGGCGCAUUAGCUAGUUGGUGGGGUAACGGCCCACCAAGGCGACGAUGCGUAGCCGACCUGAGAGGGUGAUCGGCCACACUGGGACUGAGACACGGCCCAGACUCCUACGGGAGGCAGCAGUAGGGAAUCUUCCGCAAUGGGCGCAAGCCUGACGGAGCAACGCCGCGUGAGUGAUGAAGGUUUUCGGAUCGUAAAGCUCUGUUGCCAAGGAAGAACGCCUCGGAGAGUAACUGCUCUGAGGGUGACGGUACUUGAGAAGAAAGCCCCGGCUAACUACGUGCCAGCAGCCGCGGUAAUACGUAGGGGGCAAGCGUUGUCCGGAAUUAUUGGGCGUAAAGCGCGCGCAGGCGGUCUUUUAAGUUUGGUGUUUAAGCCCGGGGCUCAACCCCGGUUCGCACUGAAAACUGGGAGACUUGAGUGCAGGAGAGGAAAGCGGAAUUCCACGUGUAGCGGUGAAAUGCGUAGAGAUGUGGAGGAACACCAGUGGCGAAGGCGGCUUUCUGGACUGUAACUGACGCUGAGGCGCGAAAGCGUGGGGAGCAAACAGGAUUAGAU